UUCUCUCUGUCCAGAUCUCAGACACAUAUGCAGGUCUGGAUCUACAGUCUGCGACCUCUGACCUGUACAACACACUCACAACCGUUCACCACAGACCUGCUGAAAACUCCUGCUCCACUCUUGAUCCUCAGAGCUCUUCUGAACAUCACAAUCCACCAAUCAACAGGAGGAGGCUGCAGUGAGAGGCGGAGCCAGUAACAACCAAUCCUGAGAUGUGUGGGUGGGGCCACGGGUGAUUGACAGG